rnacentral:rRNA from 1 species
ACACUAGAAAAGAUAAUUUUACCUAAAAAUUUAAAUUUAAUUUUAAUGAAAAGUUUAAAAUUAAAUUUUUAGACGAUAAGACCCUAUGAAGCUUUAUUAUCAUUAAUUUUUUUGGGGAAAACUAUAAUUUAUUUAUUAUUUUUAAGGUAGGUAUUGAUCUUUUAGAAUUACAAGAAAAAGCUACUCUAGGGAUAACAGCAUAAUUUUUAUUAAAGUUCUUAUUGAAAUAAAAGAUUGUGACCUCGAUGUUGAAUUAAGAAAUAUGAUUUGUGCAGCAGCUAAUUAAUUCUAGUCUGUUCGACUAUACUAUCUUACAUGAUCUGAGUUCAAACCGGA